rnacentral:rRNA from 1 species
GAUGAACGCUGGCGGCGUGCCUAACACAUGCAAGUCGAGCGGACAGAUGCGGAGCUUGCUCCUCUGACGUUAGCCGCGGACGGGAGAGUAACACGUGUAUAACCUACCUAUAAGUCUGGGAUCACUUCGGGAAACCGGAGCUAAUACCAUAUGAGAUAUUGAACCGCAUGGUUCAAUAGUGAAAGACGGCUUUGCUGUCACUAAUAGCUGGAUCCGCGCCGCAUUAGUUAGUUGGUAAGGUAACGGCCUACCAAGGCGACGAUGCGUAGCCGACCUGAGAGGGUGAUCGGCCACACUGGAAGUGAGACACGGACCAGACGCCUACGGGAGGCAGCAGUAGGGAAUCUUAGGCAAUGGGCGAAAGCCUGACGAAGCAACGCCGCGUGAGUGAUGAAGGUCUUCGGAUCGUAAAACCCUGUUAUUAGGGAAGAACAGAUGUGGAAUUAAAUAUGGAGGUCUUGACGGUACCGAAUCAGAAAGCAACGGCUAACUACGUG